rnacentral:tRNA from 1 species
GCGGAUAUGGCGGAAAUUGGUAGACGUACUAGGUUUAGGUCCUAGCGAGGUAACUCAUUGGGGGUUCAAGUCCCUCUAUCCGCA